CGCAUGAAGGGAGGGGCGGGGUUCUGCAAAGAGCUGGAACGCUAUAGGAGGCUGGCGUUUGGCCCCGCCCUGGGAACACGCAGCAUGACCCGAUGGAGAGACACAUCGGCCAGCAUCUCACAACACCCAGACAUCCCCAGCAUACACUACAAACACACACCGCUUCCCGCUAACACACACAUCCCCAGCAUACACUACAAACACACACCGCUUCCCGCUAACACACACAUCCCCCGCAUACACUACAAACACACACCGCUUCCCGCUAACACACACACGCCGCUUCCCGCUAACACACACACCAACACACACACAAAGACACCGGCCCUGCCCACACCAGUCAACACACCCACACAGGACGCCACUGACAACACACACACACAGGACGCCACUGACAACAGACACACACAGGACGCCACUGACAACACACACACACAGGACGCCACUGACAACACACACACACAGGACGCCACUGACAACACACACACACAGGACGCCACUGACAACACACACACACAGGACGCCACUGACAACACACACACACAGGACUCCACUGACAAAACACACACACAGGACGCCACUGACAACACACACACACAGGACGCCACUGACAACACACACACACAGGACGCCACUGACAACACACACACACAGGACGCCACUGACAACACACACACACAGGACGCCACUGACAACACACACACACAGGCCACCACACACACCAACAAGCACACUCCUACAACCACACACAACACUCGUAGUAACAAACAGCAAGCACAGGCCUCACACACACAGGCCUCACAGGCCUCACACACACAGGCCUCACACACACAGAAAAGAACCAAACACACUCCUAACGCAGACCAGGAGAACACACAGGAUAAACAGAUACCUCAGAACCAGAACCCACACACAGAGCGGACUCAAAACCAGAACCCACACACAGAGCGGACUCAGAACCAGAACCCACACACAGAGCGGACUCAGAACCAGAACCCACACACAGAGCGGACUCAGAACCAGAACCCACACACAGAGCGGACUCAGAACCAGAACCCACACACAGAGCGGACUCAGAACCAGGAGGGGAGCCUGGAGAGCACAGGCGCACCAACCCACAUACACAGAGAGAGGUUUGAGGAGCUCUAUGUGAAAGGAGAACUGAUUGGACACGGAGGCUAUGGGAGUGUCUAUGCCGGGUUCAGGAAGACAGACAGCCAACCGGUGAGCAACUCCUCUUGUCUACUUCCUGUCUCAGUGCCUG
rnacentral:lncRNA from 1 species